AUUCUUUUAGUCCCCACAACCAGGACAGCACAAUUACUCUAAAUUGCCUUGAUGGCUCUAGAUAAUGAAUUCCUGACAACUCAGUGAUUUCGGAGACCGAAAACUGUAAUUUAGAUAACAUGCCUAAGUUUAACCCAG